AUUGAACGCUGGCGGCAGGCCUAACACAUGCAAGUCGAACGAGUGGCGGACGGGUGAGUAAUGUCUGGGAAACGGACCGAUGGAGGGGGAUAACUACCGGAAACGGUAGCUAAUACCGCAUACCAUCGGAUGUGCCCAGAUGGGAUUAGCUAGUGGGGGGGGUAAUGGCUCACCUAGGCGACGAUCCCUAGAUGGUAUGAGAGGAUGAACAGUCACACUGGAACUGAGACACGGUCCAGACUCCUACGGGAGGCAGCAGUGGGGAAUAUUGCACAAUGGGCGCAAGCCUGAUGCAGCCAUGCCGCGUGUAUGAAGAAGGCCUUCGGGUUGUAAAGUACUUUCAGUGGGGAGGCGUUACCCGCAGAAGAAGCACCGGCUAACUCCGUGCCAGCAGCCGCGGUAAUAC
rnacentral:rRNA from 1 species